UGCAGGACCAUUGUUUCCCUUCAGCAAGCGCUAGUAGCAACUUGCAGAAUUGACUGUUGGGGGAGAAGCUGAGGCGAUGCUGCCGGAUCUUUCUAUCCCAUUUUACUGCUAAACUCAGCCAGGAGACGUGGGUGCUAGAGACUUCUGGAGUUUCAUUUGGAUUCUGUGGGGUUGUAAUUUAUUCCCAAUUCUCUGGAGAGAUAGGUGGGCUAGGGUCUAGGUAGGAUAGCAAAACUCUGUCCCUGAAGGACUUUAUUUAUUUAUUUUUUAAAAAAGAAAGCCCCAGUUUCGUUCGCCAGUGCAGUUCUCCUAGGAGGGACAGGGAAGGAAGGUGUGUAGAUUCUAUACGUUGUAGGUUCCAUACGUCCUUCUGUCCUUGUUGGGAUUUGGGCUUGUUUCCUCAUUGCUGCCUCUCCUUUUCCCUUCCUUUCUUCCCAUCCCUGGGGGUCUCUAGUGAAGCGAUACUGGCGACACCUGCCUGCCUGUAUUCGACGUUGGGACUCACACCUUUUUUCCCUGGUGACAGUGUCAGGAGUAGUUGGGGCGGGGGUGGUGGGGUACUUAGGGAACCGCAGGUUUCCUGGGACCAUUCGGAACACUCUAGAGCCAUUGCAGUUGUCCAAGAGUUGCUGUUAACUGGACUCCAGGAGCCAGAGCGAAGUCACAAGCAGCUGGAGAGAGAGCGAGCUGCCGGAGACGUGCCAACAACAACAACCUUGCUACCAGGACGGAGGAACCAGGGUUAUCUCUGGAAAGGGAAGAAAGAGAUAAUAGGAGAGACCGAGAUCCCUCCGGUCUCUCCCAGUGUGUCUGCCCUAAGCUCCAGCAACAUCUUCCCCUUGCUAACCAUCCGGUGAGACCCCAGGAUUUCGGGAUGACCGGGAAACUAGACAAUUCGUGGAGGAUGCUGCUUUCCUGAAGGUGAACCUCCAAUUUGCCUUUCCCAGGAGAGAGAGGGAGAGAGGGAAGGCGGGAGGAAAGAACAGGGAGUUGGUGUGCCUGUCUGGGUGUGAGAGGGAAAGGGAGAGAAAAAGAGAGGACAGAGAGAAAGAGAGGCAGCUUGUGACAAGGAUAAGUCUUUGCUCGACAUUAAAAGCAAACAAAUCGGGACCGGUAUAAGAGAGGUAAUAGCUGGAAGAGGCUCUUAGAUUCCGGCAGUUGGGAGGCUGAGCUGGACCUCACCACUCCACCGGGGACCCGUGGCGGGGGCCAGCGGAGCUGUCCAGGGCGCAGGGACUUGGGCUGUCUCAAUCAACAAAUCUUUUGAUUACUUUAGCGUUGUAGGGGCAAAAAAAAAUUUAAAGAAAGAAAGAAAAAAGGAGAAGAGGGAGACGCGCGCAUACUACCCACCACCUGCUUUGGGAAUUCCAAUUUGGAUUUCAGGAGAUUCCUGAAACCUCCCUUUGCCAUCCAAAAGGAGGAAAUACACUCACGCGCACGCACGCACACACACACACACACACACACACACACACACACACACGCACGCACUCACUCACACACUCACACAUACACACACACGCGCGCGCGCACACAGGGUCACACUCACACGCCCGCUCCAAGCACACACCAGACCGCAGGUCCCUAUGCCCCUGGAUGGUGAAGGUGGAUUGGGAUUUGGCAAACGAUGCAAGAACGAUAAGGCUGGCGCUGGCCCCCGGAAGCUACAGGAGCAUCGCUAGGUGUUGCCACAGGGAAGCGGGGCUGCAGGGCUGGCAUUGUGAAAGUGGCUAUUUAAGAAGAACAGCAUCUCAGGUCCUAGCAUCUCAAAGGUGCUUGGGAAAAAGCUCCUUCUUGGAAGAUUACCAACACUUACAUAUAGGAUUUCUGUGGUUAAAAAAGUCCACUGAGUUCUCCUCAUUCUACCAGCAGGGGGCAUGUUUCACAGCCCUGCUUCUUUAUGCCCAUCGACUAAAGGAUGAAUAAGAGAUACUUACAGAAAGCAACAAAAGGAAAGCUGUUAAUAAUAAUAUUUAUUCUAACCUUGUGGGGCAAACUAGCAUCUGGUGCAAACCACCAUAAAGCUCACCAUGUUAAAACCGGAACCUGCGAGGUGGUGGCACUCCAUAGAUGUUGUAAUAAGAACAAGAUAGAAGAAAGGUCACAGACGGUCAAGUGCUCAUGCUUCCCAGGACAGGUGGCAGGCACCACUCGAGCUGCUCCUUCUUGUGUUGAUGCUUCAAUAGUGGAGCAGAAAUGGUGGUGUCACAUGCAGCCAUGUCUUGAAGGAGAGGAAUGUAAAGUUCUUCCAGAUCGGAAAGGGUGGAGUUGUUCCUCGGGAAAUAAAGUGAAGACGACGAGGGCAAACGUGUAAAACUCUUCAAGUCCGAAUGGAGAAGUAGAAAGAGGAGGUUUCUGCUGUGCCUGAUGACAAUUUUUGAUUAUUCCACACACAAAAUAACAAUCUGGCUCCACGUUAGAGCACUAGUUGUGAUGUAUCCUAGUGUUGGUCGGAUUCUAAGGAAGGGCCAGAAGUUUCGUUGAGUCAAAACCACUCCAGAAAUGUGCUCCCGUCCUGGUUUAUUUCUCACAAAGCAGCAGGUAACCCAUUAGCUAAGGACAAUUCAAGCCAAUUCUAAGGCUGAGAACAUUAAACAUACCCCUGUCUGGAAUGAAUUCCUGAGACCAACCAGAAGGAAGCUUUUUAUACUGUGGGGAGUGCACCCCUUGGUAAUACCCUCACAUUCUUCCCAAUGGGAUACUUGGCUUGUAAUUAGCAACCCUUCAAGAUCAAAACUUCUACAAAGUCAACCAUGAACUUCUGUGGUGUGAAGCUCUCAAUGAGGUUAGACUGUUCACACUUGUACAUUGCACAUGCUAGAAGAAUUUAAAGUUGCAGUCCAAGAAAUCGCUAUCCUUGAAGAUGAUGGAGGAGACAUUAAACUCUUGGGUUCGUGGCUCCAGAUGUGAUUGCUUUUCUAGUUUCUGAACGCAUUCUACAAAACACUGGCUUGUCUCUGUUCCUGGGCCCUGUGUUUCAUUGUGUGGUGGGACUGCACACAGCUUUAAUAAUAUUUCUUCUGUAGAACUUGUCCUCUGGCAUGGCAUACCUUUGGACUUUUUGAUUUGUAUCCUAAUCUUGGAGCUCUCAAAGCCUACGUAUUUUAACAUCCUAAAGUUGCUUUUGUUAUAGGAAUGGAAAUCUAUCUAUCUAUCUAUUGUUAAUGAUGAUUGUUGGCAAGUAAUAGUUAUCUGAUACAUCAAUCAUAUAAAAAUGUGUAGACAAGCUGACAUCUUUCCUUCCCCAAGGCAAAUGGACUACCCUAGACCCUUGUCAAUUAAAUAAGUAGUGGUCAGAGCAGGAGUAACAUUUUCAUUAUAAGAUAUUUUAUACCUUUAGAACAUUUCCUUUCAGAUUUCCUUUUUUUUUUCCUUUCCCAAAGUGUGUUAUGUGCUUUGGUUCCUUAAUGUGCCAUUCUUUCCCCAAUUUACACCAAUCAGAAAUAAGCAGUCACUGAUAUUAAGUAGUCCUGAUUUUCAAAAAUUGCCAGGGAUGCAUGCCAGUUUUACAAUACUAAACUUAGAAGAUGUUCAUUUAAAACUCCUUUUCAUUUUCCUUUCUCUCUUUUCUUUUCAUUUUUCAAAAGGCUGUCUCUGACUUGAACAAAAUGAUGAUCUGGAUGCUUCUGUAUUUGUCUGUUAAGUUUCUCUGUUGAUAGAGGAAAGGGUUCAUUUCUCCUAGUCUCUAAUUCACAAAUAUUUGCUCACAGUUAUCCAUACUCAAACCAUUUCUUAGGCCAGUAUUUUUCCCCUUCCCUGCAUUUUAGUGGCUAGCUUUUGAAUUUGUGAUUUGCUGUUCCACAAAAAGUCUUCUAAAUAUUUAAAAAGCCUUAAACAUCUAUGAACUUGUUUUCUAAGUUAUUACAGAAUGUAUAAUUUUAUACUGCAUUUACUAUACUCCACAUAGAAGCAGAGGCGAAUAGACAUUUGCGUUCCUGUUCCGUACCAAUCCACCACAUGGUCUUGAAGGUGGGAAUGGAGAGAAGGGUGGGACUUCAGUACUUUUAUUUUGUAAACAAACAUGAAGAUGGUACAGAUGCAGGCCUAUUGAAAAUAAUUGUGUGGGCAAGCUCAUUCAAGCAGCUGGCAUGAGGCAUCAAUAUGCUAGAGAAGCAGGGAAAUCUUUUUAUUUUUACAACUCAUUGACAUGGCCAAUUAGACAUAAAUUGGGUUCCAUGAUGGAUGUGCACCCUGGAGUGCUUUGAUAAUUCACUAUAUGCAACACUAUUCCAAGACCAAUUCAUUACCUCUGCUGUUUUAUUGUGCAGGAGAGGUAAAAUGUAACAAUUAUUGGAAGCUAAAUUGGAGACGUAGACUUAUAGCGUCGUACUGAAGAAUAUUGCACACCAUCAACAUUUCAGGGGAAAGAGAUGUGUGUCUGCCUCCAUUUUAAUUAGGAGUUGUUACUAGAACCAGCUAACUGGCUCUGAAUGAUUUUUCCAAUAAGCUGUAUAGAACUGGGCAGAAAGGCAUGAGGGUUGGGGAGGGAGAACAUCUUUUGAAGGAUCAUCCCUUUUUUUUUUGGAACAAUGCAAAAUGAAGACUAUGUUAUUUUUUAGGCUAUGUGUUUGGCUCUGAUUUGGUCUUAAUUCUGCACCAUGCUUCUCCAUAUUGUUUCCUUUGGCUCUUCUUGAUACCAACACUGGGAAUUCUGUAUUAUAUACAAGUGUAACAUGCAUAUCAAUAGGUGAAAAUAAAUGGACUUUCAGAUAUUCUAAUUAGAUUAUCCACAGUAGAUUAAUGUUGUGAAAUAUUCAGAAAACGUGAAUAAAAUUGUGAUAUAAAAUUGA